UGAAUGCUUCAAAUAUUAAAACCCGAUUGAUUAGGCCUAUGCCGACAUAAUAUCAGUCCUAAUCCUGAACGCACCGUGCGUACAUUUUUCACGGCAUUUUCCCCCAGACAGACAGACAGACAGACAGACACUUUAUUUACCCCAAACUAACUUUCAUAAUCCAGCAGGUUACACAAUACAAAUAACUCUUACACAAAUACAGACAGCCUAUACAGUAGGCUAAUACAGCGCCCACCUCAGCAAAAGGUAAAAUGUAAAAAGAAGAUAUAAGCUACAUUUAAAAUACAGAUGCUGUAGCCUACAUAAAAAUACAGAUGCCACAUGAAAUAUGAAAAUAGGAUGCACUGUAUAAAUAUGCAAAACUAGGAUAUAACUAGGCUAUAAUGAGAAUACUUGGUUAACUUACAAUGACUAACUUACAAUGACUAUCCUCCUAAAUUAAAUUAGUUAGAUGGAAAGAUUUUUGUCUAUGGAAUGAUCCUGUCACUUUACUGCCACACAUUGUGUGUGUCAGUAAAGUGAUGAGGUAGGAGAAUCCGUGUAUGGAUUGUUUUUUGGUUUUUCAGAUUUGGUUUUGAAACUGAAAAAGGGCAAAAGGAAUAAACAAAUAAACGGCAUUUGAUUUUG